UACGUAGGGGGCAAGCGUUGUCCGGAAUCAUUGGGCGUAAAGAGCGUGUAGGCGGCCCGGUAAGUCCGCCGUGAAAGUCCAGGGCUCAACCCUGGAAUGCCGGUGGAAACUGUCGGGCUAGAGUCCGGAAGAGGCGAGUGGAAUUCCCGGUGUAGCGGUGAAAUGCGCAGAUAUCGGGAGGAACACCAAUGGCGAAGGCAGCUCGCUGGGACGGUACUGACGCUGAGACGCGAAAGCGUGGGGAGCAAACAGG
rnacentral:rRNA from 1 species